GUAAAGGUUAAUAUACAUGUGCAGAGAAUUUUGAGUGCAGCUUCUGUUCAUUAAGUGGACACAUCCAUUAUUAUAUUGACCUCAUUUGAGUUUGUUUGUCUGUUACCAUAUGGAGAGUUUUAACAUCCUGUCCAACAUGACUUGGGAGACAUACGGAGACCAGGAUCCCAUGCCUGUAUCAGAGGCUCAUAGCAAUCAGCAGAAAUCAGUCACAAUCCAUAAAUCGAGCAGUUAGCAGUC